UACGUAGGGCGCAAGCGUUAUCCGGAAUUAUUGGGCGUAAAGAGCUCGUAGGCGGUUUGUCGCGUCUGCCGUGAAAGUCCGGGGCUCAACUCCGGAUCUGCGGUGGGUACGGGCAGACUAGAGUGAUGUAGGGGAGACUGGAAUUCCUGGUGUAGCGGUGAAAUGCGCAGAUAUCAGGAGGAACACCGGUGGCGAAGGCGGGUCUCUGGGCAAUAACUGACGCUGAGGAGCGAAAGCGUGGGGAGCGAACAGG
rnacentral:rRNA from 1 species